CUAACACAUGCAAGUCGAACGAAGUGCUUCGGCCUUAGUGGCGCACGGGUGCGUAACGCGUGGGAAUCUGCCCUUGGGUUCGGAAUAACAGUUAGAAAUGACUGCUAAUACCGGAUGAUGACGAAAGUCCAAAGAUUUAUCGCCCAGGGAUGAGCCCGCGUAGGAUUAGGUAGUUGGUGGGGUAAAGGCCUACCAAGCCGACGAUCCUUAGCUGGUCUGAGAGGAUGAUCAGCCACACUGGGACUGAGACACGGCCCAGACUCCUACGGGAGGCAGCAGUGGGGAAUAUUGGACAAUGGGCGAAAGCCUGAUCCAGCAAUGCCGCGUGAGUGAUGAAGGCCUUAGGGUCGUAAAGCUCUUUUACCAGGGAUGAUAAUGACAGUACCUGGAGAAUAAGCUCCGGCUAACUCCGUGCCAGCAGCCGCGGUAAUACGGAGGGAGCUAGCGUUGUUCGGAAUUACUGGGCGUAAAGCGCACGUAGGCGGUUAUUCAAGUCAGAGGUGAAAGCCCGGGGCUCAACCCCGGAACUGCCUUUGAAACUAGAUGACUGGAAUCUUGGAGAGGUCAGUGGAAUUCCGAGUGUAGAGGUGAAAUUCGUAGAUAUUCGGAAGAACACCAGUGGCGAAGGCGACUGACUGGACAAGUAUUGACGCUGAGG
rnacentral:rRNA from 1 species